UUACCAGACUCCUACGGGAGGCAGCAGUGGGGAAUAUUGCACAAUGGGGGAAACCCUGAUGCAGCGACGCCGCGUGAGUGAAGAAGUAUUUCGGUAUGUAAAGCUCUAUCAGCAGGGAAGAAAAUGACGGUACCUGAUUAAGAAGCCCCGGCUAACUACGUGCCAGCAGCCGCGGUAAUACGUAGGGGGCAAGCGUUAUCCGGAUUUACUGGGUGUAAAGGGAGCGUAGACGGCUGUGCAAGCCAGAUGUGAAAGCCCGGGGCUCAACCCCGGGACUGCAUUUGGAACUGUGUGGCUGGAGUGUCGGAGAGGCAGGCGGAAUUCCUAGUGUAGUGGUGAAAUGCGUAGAUAUUAGGAGGAACACCAGUGGCGAAGGCGGCUUACUGAACUGUAACUGACGUUGAGGCUCGAAAGCGUGGGGAGCAAACAGGAUUAGAUACCCUUGUAU
rnacentral:rRNA from 1 species